CCGCGCCGCGGACGCACCGAGCCGAGGAGGCGCGGGUCGAGAGGUCUCGACCCGCGCCUCCUCGGCUCCCUCCGUCGUCGACGGGA
rnacentral:pre_miRNA from 1 species